GGACGUGUGCCCGAAUCUUCAAGGACUACUUUGAUAGAGUAAUACACAGAGGUUAAAAUCCUCUCACCUCCU
rnacentral:tRNA from 1 species